CAAGUAAAUUGGUCAAUCGCAUCAAAUUUGAUGAGGAAAGUCUGUGCUCCACAGAGCAGGAUGCCGGUUAACGACCGGUGGGGGCGACCCUAAGGCUAGUGCAACAGAGAUAUACCGCCAAUUUAUUGGUAAGGGUGGAAAGGUGAGGUAAGAGCUCACCGGGUUAUUAGCAAUAAUAAUGCCAUGUAAACCCCAUUCGGAGCAAGACCAAAACAGGAUAAAACAGAUGCUGCUCGCAUCUGCCAGUAGGUAGGUCGCUAGAUUUUAUCGGCAACGAUAAAAGUAGAUAGAUGAUUGAUAAAACAGAACACAGCUUACAGAUUUACUUGCUAA
rnacentral:RNase_P_RNA from 2 species